rnacentral:rRNA from 1 species
GACGAACGCUGGCGGCGUGCUUAACACAUGCAAGUCGAACGAUGAUGCUGGAGCUUGCUCCAGUUGAUUAGUGGCGAACGGGUGAGUAACACGUGAGCAAUCUGCCCUUGACUCUGGGAUAACUUCGGGAAACUGUAGCUAAUACCGGAUACUUUCACCGGAAGGCAUCUUCUGGUGAUGAAAGAAUUUCGGUCAGGGAUGAGCUCGAGGCCUAGCAGCUUGUUGGUGAGGUAACGGCUCACCAAGGCGACGACGGGUAACCGGCCUGAGAGGGUGACCGGUCACACUGGGACUGAGACACGGCCCAGACUCCUACGGAAGGCAGCAGUGGGGAAUAUUGCACAAUGGGCGCAAGCCUGAUGCAGCAACGCCGCGUGAGGGAUGAAGGCCUUCGGGUUGUAAACCUCUUUUAGCAGGGAAGAAGCGAAAGUGACGGUACCUGCAGAAAAAGCACCGGCUAACUACGUGCCAGCAGCCGCGGUAA